AGGAGGCAACCUUCCCACGGGGGGGGGGGGGGGGGGGUCCUUCGGCUCACAAAUGAUCCGGACGGGUGGAAUAAUAAUAAUAACAACGUGUGAGUGUGUACGCUGGCAGGCCACGUGAUGUGUGUGAUGUGUACGUACGAUGAAAAUUAUUUUGCGGCGAGGGGAAGGACAAGGAACUUUAACACAAAAAUCAGUUGUAAAGAAAUGAGUUUGGUCAAUCUCGAUGAUGAUUUAAAAGCGCGCAGCUUCCGGUGGCUUCCUACUAUCGGACGGUGAAGAGAGCGUUCCAGACGGCCGCAGAAGCAGCGCAGUCUGAAAGUGCCGCUUGGUGAACUCCGUCUCUUCUCGAUGGCCUGCCAAUCGCUGCAGCUGCCACUGCUACAGCUGAUCCUUCUGCUACUGCUACUCCUACAGCUGAUGCUACUUCUGCAGCUGCUACUACGACUACUGCUGCUACUCCUACAGCUGAUGCUUCUGCUACUUCUGCUACUACUACUGCUGCUACUCCUACAGCGGAUGCUUCUACUUCUGCAGUUGCAACUACUACUACUGCUGCUACUCCUACAGCUGAUGCUUCUGCAGCUGCUACUACUACUGCUGCUACUCCUACAGCUGAUGCUUCUGCUACUUCUGCAGCAGCUGCUGCUACUCCUACAGCUGAUGCUCAUGCUACUUCUGCAGCAGCUGCUGCUACUACUACUGCUGCUACUCCUACAGCUGAUGCUCAUGCUACUUCUGCAGCAGCUGCUGCUACUACUACUGCUGCUACUCCUACAGCUGAUGCUCAUGCUACUUCUGCAGCAGCUGCUGCUGCUGCUACUUCUGCUGCUACUCCUACAGCUGAUGCUUCUGCUACUUCUGCAGCUGAUGCUACUACUACUACUGCUGCUACUCCUACAGCUGAUGCUUCUGCUACCUUUCUGCAGCUGCUGCUGCUACUACUGCUGCUACUACACCUGCAGCUGCAGCAUAGGCAGCAGCUGCUGCUGCCUAUGCUGCUACUCCUGCGGCUGCGAGGAUGAUGAACCGGAGUUCACGCGUGCGGCGACCACAUGCCGCCGCAGUUGGCGCCGUAGCGCUUGGCCGUGGGCCUGGACAGACGGGGGCGUCUCCUCUCGCGUCUCGCCCGCCUGGCACUCGGGACGCUUAGCCCCAUGGCGCUCUCGGCAUCGCUUUUCGCGGUGUUCACACGCGUCGGCCUGUCCAAAAAGGUGUUCACGCGGCGGGCGGUCUCGAAAGGGGUCCAUGCGUCGGUUCCCCAAAGGUGUUCACGUGUUCUAAACAUGUCCACGCGUCGGUCAGUUCUAAAGGUGUUCACGUGUUCUAAACAUGUCCACGCGUCGGUCAGUUAUAAAGGUGUUCACGUGUUCUAAACAUGUCCACGCGUCGGUCAGUUCUAAAGGUGUUCACGCGUCAGUCCUAAAGGUGUUCACGUGUUCUAAACAUGUCCACGCGUCGGUCAGUUCUAAAGGUGUUCACAUCUCAGUUAUAAAGGUGUUCACGUGUUCUAAACAUGUCCACGCGUCGGUCAGUUCUAAAGGUGUUCACGUCUCAGCUCCGAAAGUGUUCACGUCUCAGUUCUAAAGGUGUUCACUUCUCAGUUCUAAAGGUGUUCACGUCUCAGUUCCAAAAGUGUUCACGUGCCAGUUCUAAAGGUGUUCACGUCUCAGCUCCAAAGGUGUUCACGUCUCAGUUCUAAAGGUGUUCGUCUCAGUUCUAAAGGUGUUCACGCGUCCAUUCUAAAAGUGUCCACGUCUCAGUUCUCAAGGUGUUCAAAUCUAAGUUCUAAAGGUGUUCAUGCGUCGGUUCCAAAAGUGUUCACGUCUCAGUUCCAAAAGUGUUCACGUCUAAGUUCUAAAGGUGUUCACGUGUUCGUUCCAAAAGUGUUCACGUGUCCGUUCCAAACGUGCCCACGUCUCCGUUCUAAAGGUGUUCACGUGUCAGUUCUAAAGGUGUUCACGUGUCAGUUCUAAAGGUGUUCAUGCAUCAGUUCCAAAAGUGUUCACGUGUCAGUUCUAAAGGUGUUCACGUGUCAGUUCUAAAUGUGUUCACGUCUCGGUUCCAAAGGUGUUCACGUCUAAGUUCUAAAUGUGUUCACGUGUCGGUUCUAAAGGUGUUCACGUGUCAGUUCUAAAUGUGUUCACGUGUCAGUUCCAAAGGUGUUCACGUGCCAGUUCGAAAACUGCCUAAACCCUCCGGCCCACGUGGUCCUGGUGCAGUUGCACCGCCUGCAAACUCAACAGCGAUACUGACGACGACGAUGAUGAUGAUGUAACAACCCUCUGUAGUUAGGCCUACGGGGUCCUCUAUGUAAGUCUAUUGGGGGGGGCCUCCGACCCGGUGAGUCUCUGCGUGUAAAGUCUUCGGGUCUCUCUCUCUGUGCAGUUGCACCGCCUGCACACUUGAUAGCUACGCUUACCGAUGCAAGCGUCGGCGGGUGUCAUCCGCAUUGAUCGCACGGGUUACGCUUGGCCCAAUCCGCAGACCACCACAUUUAAUUGCGCAACGCAGAACCGUGUCCAAGCGAAGAUGUGACGUUGGGCCAACGUUGCGUUAACGUCGGGCCAACGUUGGGCCAACGUUGGAUUAACGUUGGGCCAACGUCGGGCGAACGUUGGGCUAACGUUGGGCCAACGUUGGGCUAACGUUGGGCCAACGUUGGAUUAACGUCGGGCGAACGUUGGGCUAACAUUGGAUUAACGUUGGGCUAACGUUGGGCCAACGUUGGCCUAACAUUGGAGCCAACAACUGUUCCUCGUUUACUCGGUCGCAACCCAGCCGCGGUCACCCACUGCCACCGACAUAAACACUGUAGCAUAUUGUAUCGUAUUGUAUGAUAAAGGCCUAUAAGUAACAUAGUAAUAAUAAUAACAACAACAAUGUACAAACCUUUAUCCAUCUUCGCUGCUGGAUUGAGAUCUUCCCCCGUGGCUCUGUCGGUCCUUUUGGGGGGGUAGGUAGGUAGGUGGGGGGGGGGGGGUGUUUAACCAUACUUCACCACCUAUGGCUGCUCAUCAUCGGGCAUCCCCUUGGUUUUAACGGUUCGUUUACCGCUCGCCACCGUUGUUGGCCCUGGUCGCGAAUUGUCGGACCAAACGUCGGGUCUCUUGCGCAGUGCGCUACAUCAUCCCCCCCCCCCAGUCCCGUCCCCUACAUUGUUAUUGUGUACUUGGUGUAAAAUAAUCGCGUCGUGAACGUUGAUAAUUAACCAAUCGCUGCUUCCAAGCUAGAGUCGAACUUCCCCCGGGGGUGGUAGUGGUGGUGGUGGGGACGUUUUAUAACCUUUGGAUGACCAACGCGAGAGGUCAAGCGGCGGUGUGGAGCGAUGCUGUCUGUACAUUUAACUUUGGCAUUCGUGGUGGCACAAAUGCUGCUGCUAUAUACGAUGGCUGUGAGUUUUUUUGUUUGGGGGGGGGGGGGGUGGAACCAUAUAUGUAAAGUUACACGCUAAUUUAAAGAAAAAAUAAAUUAAGACUCACGGUUUGGUUUUUUUUGCUAAAGGUGGGGGGGGGGAAAUAUAUAUAUAAAAGUUGUGCAGACGAAUGUAUAUGGAUAGGUUAUAAGAUAUGAGCAUCGUCUUUCGCAAAUGGAUCUUUUGCAGAUAUUUGGUUCUUUGAACAUCGCUAAAAUAAAUAAACAGACGGACAAAAAGAAAA